rnacentral:rRNA from 1 species
GAAGCGGUAACAGCUCAAAUUUGAAAUCUGGCUCUUUCAGGGUCCGAGUUGUAAUUUGUAGAAGAUGCUUUGGGUGUGGCUCCAGUCUAAGUUCCUUGGAACAGGACGUCAUAGAGGGUGAGAAUCCCGUAUGUGAUUGGUGGCUUUCGCCCGUGUAAAGCUCUUUCGACGAGUCGAGUUGUUUGGGAAUGCAGCUCAAAAUGGGUGGUAAAUUUCAUCUAAAGCUAAAUACUGGCCAGAGACCGAUAGCGCACAAGUAGAGUGAUCGAAAGAUGAAAAGCACUUUGGAAAGAGAGUUAAACAGUACGUGAAAUUGUUGAAAGGGAAGCGUUGGCAACCAGACUCGUAUGCCGCUAAUCAUCCGGGGUUCUCCCCGGUGCACUUGGUGGUUUUCGGGCCAGCAUCGGUUUCGGUGGUGGGAUAAAGGCCUUGGGAAUGUAGCUUCUCUCGGGGAGUGUUAUAGCCCUCGGUGCAAUGCCGCCUACUGGGACCGAGGACCGCGCUUCGGCUAGGAUGCUGGCGUAAUGGUUGUCAACGGCCCGUCUUGAAACACGGACCAAGGAGUCUAACAUCUAUGCGAGUAUUUGGGUGUCAAACCCAUAUGCGUAAUGAAAGUGAACGGAGGUAAGAGCCCUUCAGGGUGCAUUAUCGACCGAUCCUGAUGUCUUCGGAUGGAUUUGAGUAAGAGCAUAGCUGUUGGGACCCGAAAGAUGGUGAACUAUGCCUGAAUAGGGUGAAGCCAGAGGAAACUCUGGUGGAGGCUCGCAGCGGUUCUGACGUGCAAAUCGAUCGUCAAA